ACGGGAUUUAUAUUGUCUGCUGCUUUGUACAUUUACCGAGAGGAGUCUGCAUGAACCAGACUCUUGGACUGUGGAUCCAGCUGUCGUCCUAUGUCCUAUUCCCACUAUUCUUGCGAAGAAGGAUUUUGAAACCCACAGAAAAUCACAGGACCCUACAUCGCCCCCUGGAGGAUUGCAUGGAUUACAGCAAGAACAUGAUUAAAGGAACCUCUACCAAGCAGUAUAAUAAACACCCAAUAGAGGAGGCACCCAAUUGACCAGCAGCGGCCCUGCUGAUGAUUCAGGAACAACAGAGACUCUUCACAGAGGAAGCAUGAAGUUGAUAAAAAAGACUUUGCACAAUUGCUGCUGACUGUUGAUGGUUACUGUCUUAAUAACAAACAAGCUCACAGAAUCUUUCCACUUAAGAUAUGGGAGAAAUUUGGAUAUCUGACUAUGCCCUUGACAGGUAUCGCUACAUUUUGUUCUGCAUAUGGGUCAUCGAUAUCAUCCUGAUAUUUAUCGUACACCACUUGGAAUCCUGUUUUAUAAGGGCAGUUGAAAAUUUCUACAAAGAUCAUCAAGAAAAUGUUUGCAGCUAGAAAGUUUGUUCAGUUUAGGCCGAUUUCACUGCAUAUGUGGUGCUCCACAUCACUGACUAAAAAACAUAAACCCUUGUUUACUAUACUAUUUUCCAUCACAUAUACUUGUACAAUUUUCCACCAAUACGAAAAGAUAUUAAAUUUCUUGAUGAAAAAUAUUCUGAAAAGGUCAGUACCUGCACAUCUAAUUACAGAUACUGAAGGUCUUAACAUUAAAUUUUUUGUUGUCACAAUAAAUUUGAAGAAGUGGUUCAAAUGUGUAACACUUUAAUAUCACAUCCAAGAAAGGGGAAACCCAUUAUUAAUAUCAUACAAUCUAUAAUGCUAUAACAACAACAAAACACAACAUACUUAUCCAUAUCCAGCUGAGUCUCUAUAAAUAAUAAUGAUUCAAUGGCACUGGGCUUGUACACUGCUUUUUAUUUGUGACAUGUUAUAAGACUGAUG